AGCAUUUCAAUAAAUAAUUAAAGCUAUAGUUCUUAGUUUCUGUCGCCUCCAUGAGGAAUUAUAAGUAAUAACAACAAAACUGUUGUUGCAUCCACAUGACACAAGCCUUCGGUGAU